CGGCUAUGUACUGCGUGUGUA
rnacentral:miRNA from 1 species